rnacentral:tRNA from 1 species
GGGCCCGUAGUCUAGUGGUUAUGAUGCUGCCCUCACACGGCAGAGGUCACCAGUUCAAAUCUGGUCGGGCCCA